rnacentral:tRNA from 1 species
GGGGUUAUGGCUCAGUGGUAGAGCACUCACCUGGCAUGUGUAAGGCACUGGGUUCGAUCCUCAGCACCA